UUUGUUAUAAAUUAAUAAUUAAACGAGUAUUAUAUAAAAUUAAUGAAUAUAAUUUUAUUUAAUUUGUACUGUACAAUACAUUAACUAUUAAAUUUAUUACCCGCAAUAAUUUUAAAUAUGGCGGAGAAGAAUGAAGAGGAAGAAAGAAACAGUUUUGCUUUGCUUCUGCAUAAUUAUGACAAGGAUCAGAUCAUAAGUAAAAUGGAUGAAUUGUCCAAAGAGUUAAAGUAUAUUAAUGAGAAUCUUAUGAAAUAUAGAGUUGAAUGUGCUUUGUUAAACGUGGAAGUAGCAACAAUGAUAGAUCCACGCAUACUGAAUGAAAAAAUAACUAUGGCUUAAAAAAUUUUUAAAGAUUUAGAAGAAUUUUUUAAUCAACAAAAGCUGUAAAAUAAAGUAAAUACAC